rnacentral:tmRNA from 1 species
GGGGCUGAUUUUGGAUUUGACAGAAUUAUCGAAACCCUAGGUGCAUGCCGAGGUGCGGUAGGCCUCGUUAAUAAACCGCAACAAAUAUUCGCAAAUGACGAAAACUACGCUUUAGCAGCUUAAUAACUGAUUAAAGCCCUCUCUCCUUAUAAUCGAUUCUCUUAAGAUUAGGAUAAAGAGAGGUCAAAAUACCAAUAGAGAUCGCGUGGAUACUUUGCUUAGAGUAAAACGUUAAAAUUAACAGUAAAGCUAAUUUGUUAGUAAUGUGUUCACUCUAAACUAACAAGUGAAUUCAAAGAUUGAACUAAGCAUGUAGUUACCGAGGAUAUAGAAAUUUUGGACGCGGGUUCAACUCCCGCCAGCUCCAUAU